CAGCCAUGCCGCGUGUGUGAAGAAGGCCUUAUGGUUGUAAAGACACAGCGAGGAGGAGGCUACUCUAGUUAAUACCUAGGGAUAGUGGACGUUACUCGCAGAAAUAAGCACCGGCUAACUCUGUGCCAGCAGCCGCGGUAAUACAGAGGGUGCGAGCGUUAAUCGGAUUUACUGGGCGUAAAGCGUGCGUAGGCGGCUUAUUAAGUCGGAUGUGAAAUCCCCGAGCUUAACUUGGGAAUUGCAUUCGAUACUGGUGAGCUAGAGUAUGGGAGAGGAUGGUAGAAUUCCAGGUGUAGCGGUGAAAUGCGUAGAGAUCUGGAGGAAUACCGAUGGCGAAGGCAGCCAUCUGGCCUAAUACUGACGCUGAGGUACGAAAGCAUGGGGAGCAAACAGGAUUAGAUACCCUGGUAGUCCAUGCCGUAAACGAUGUCUACUAGCCGUUGGGGCCUUUGAGGCUUUAGUGGCGCAGCUAACGCGAUAAGUAGACCGCCUGGGGAGUACGGUCGCAAGACUAAAACUCAAAUGAAUUGACGGGGGCCCGCACAAGCGGUGGAGCAUGUGGUUUAAUUCGAUGCAACGCGAAGAACCUUACCUGGCCUUGACAUACUAGAAACUUUCCAGAGAUGGAUUGGUGCCUUCGGGAAUCUAGAUACAGAUGCUGCAUGGCUGUCGUCAGCUCGUGUCGUGAGAUGUUGGGUUAAGUCCCGCAACGAGCGCAACCCUUUUCCUUACUUGCCAGCAUUUCGGAUGGGAACUUUAAGGAUACUGCCAGUGACAAACUGGAGGAAGGCGGGGACGACGUCAAGUCAUCAUGGCCCUUACGGCCAGGGCUACACACGUGCUACAAUGGUCGGUACAAAGGGUUGCUACACAGCGAUGUGAUGCUAAUCUCAAAAAGCCGA
rnacentral:rRNA from 1 species